UUUGUAUAACCGUGAAUACACAUACAAUAUAUAAAUACAUACAUAUACAUAUUCAUAUACAUAUACCUACCUACUCACAUACAUACGUACGUACAUACAUACAUAUAUAUAUAUAUAUGUAUAUAUAUAUAUGUAUGUAUGUAUAUAUGUGUAUACAUAAGACAUAGAUAGAAAGAGACCGAGAGAGUGAGAGUGAGAGAGAGAGAGAGAGAAAGAGAGAGAGUUAGAGAUACACAUUUCCGAUUUAAUCACAAGUCAUCCUCCCCUACAGGAAUUUCACAUCUUUGACUUCACUGGUUUGGUACGCAUUCUUCUUUAGCCAGCAUGGAAUACCCAUACUUAAACCAAACUACAUUUGAUGCAGCAAAUUGUUCUCUGUCAGGGAUGGACAGCAGUCUUCCAAAUUGUAACAUUCCUUGCUCCUACGGAGACACAAGUCCUUUUGGACAAAUGUCCCAGGGUUACCGCUAUAAUGGGGUGAGAUCCUUUCCCAGUAAUCCGACUAUCACCACAGGAAGUUGUAGUAUGAUGCCGCGGACUAGAGACCAUCCACAACCACCGGUAUUUCCUUCUGGUA
rnacentral:lncRNA from 1 species